rnacentral:rRNA from 1 species
AGAGUUUGAUCCUGGCUUAGGAUGAACGCUAGCUACAGGCUUAACACAUGCAAGUCGAGGGGCAGCAUGGGAGUUGCUUGCAAUUCCUGAUGGCGACCGGCGCACGGGUGAGUAACGCGUAUCCAACCUUCCCCUCAGUAGGGCAUAGCCCGUAGAAAUGCGGAUUAAUACCCUAUGCGGUCCGAUGAGGACAUCUGAGCUGGACGAAAGGUUUACCGCUGAGGGAUGGGGAUGCGUCUGAUUAGGUAGUCGGCGGGGUAACGGCCCACCGAGCCAUCGAUCAGUAGGGGUUCUGAGAGGAAGGUCCCCCACACUGGUACUGAGACACGGACCAGACUCCUACGGGAGGCAGCAGUGAGGAAUAUUGGUCAAUGGGCGAGAGCCUGAACCAGCCAAAGUAGCGUGCGGGAUGACGGCCCUACGGGUUGUAAACUGCUUUUAUGCGGGGAUAAAGUGAGGGACUUGUCCCUUUUUGCAGGUACCGCAUGAAUAAGGACCGGCUAAUUCCGUGCCAGCCGCGGC